AUUGAACGCUGGCGGCAGGCCUAACACAUGCAAGUCGAACGAGUGGCGGACGGGUGAGUACUGUCUGGGAAACUGCCUGAUGGAGGGGGAUAACUACUGGAAACGGUAGCUAAUACCGCAUACCAUCGGAUGUGCCCAGAUGGGAUUAGCUAGUAGGUGGGGUAAAGGCUCCCCUAGGCGACGAUCCCUAGCUGGUCUGAGAGGAUGACCAGCAAAACUGGAACUGAGACACGGUCCAGAAGCAUACGGGAGGCAGCAGGGGGGAAGAUUGCACAAUGGGGGAAAGCCUGAGGCAGCCAUGCCGCGUGUGUGAAGAAGGACGUCGGGGUGUAAAGCACUUUCAGCGAGGAGGCGUUACUCGCAGAAGAAGCACCGGCUAACUCCGUGCCAGCAGCCGCGGUAAUAC
rnacentral:rRNA from 1 species